UACGUAGGGGGCUAGCGUUGUCCGGAUUUAUUGGGCGUAAAGAGCUCGUAGGCGGUUCGUCGCGUCGGCUGUGAAAACCCGGAGCUCAACUCCGGGCCUGCAGUCGAUACGGGCGGACUUGAGUGUUGCAGGGGAGACUGGAACUCCUGGUGUAGCGGUGAAAUGCGCAGAUAUCAGGAGGAACACCGGUGGCGAAGGCGGGUCUCUGGGCCGAUACUGACGCUGAGGAGCGAAAGCGUGGGGAGCAAACAGG
rnacentral:rRNA from 1 species